GUCUAUGGCCAUACUAGUCUGAAAGAGCCUGAUCUCGUCAGAUCUCAGAAGUCAUGCAGACUUGAGCCUGUUUAGUACUUGUAUGGGAGACCAACUAGGAACCUCAGGUGCCGUAAGCU
rnacentral:rRNA from 1 species